rnacentral:rRNA from 1 species
UACGUAGGGCGCAAGCGUUGUCCGGAAUUAUUGGGCGUAAAGAGCUCGUAGGCGGCUUGUCACGUCGGGUGUGAAAGCCCGGGGCUUAACCCCGGGUCUGCAUUCGAUACGGGCAGGCUAGAGUGUGGUAGGGGAGAUCGGAAUUCCUGGUGUAGCGGUGAAAUGCGCAGAUAUCAGGAGGAACACCAGUAGCGAAGGCGGCACUCUGGGCCGGUACUGACGCUGAGGAGCGAAAGCGUGGGGAGCGAACAGG